rnacentral:rRNA from 1 species
CUUUACUGUAGCCUGGUAUUGGGUUCGGGCUUUGACUGCGCAGGAUAGGUGGAGACUGAGAAGUGUGCCUUGUGGGGCACAUAGAGUCAACGGUGAGAUACCACUCUGUCAGAGCUAGAAUCCUGACCUUCACCCGUGAUCCGGGGAAGGAACCGUAUCAGGUGGGCAGUUUGACUGGGGCGGUCGCCUCCUAAAAGGUAACGGAGGCGCGCAAAGGUGUUCUCAGGCUGGUUGGAAAUCAGCCGUAGAGUGUAAAGGCAGAAGAACGCUUGACUGUGAGAGUGACAACUCAAGCAGGGUGGAAACACGGCCUUAGUGAUCCGACGGUAUGCGCGUGGAAGUGCCGUCGCUCAACGGAUAAAAGUUA